ACGACCUUACUUGAACAGGAUCUGUUCUAUACGGUCAUACCACUGCAUCCUCUACCAAUAAGGAGGCAAGCACUUCAGUCCAUUUUAAAUCAAUUCAGCCAACGAUUGAUUAAAAAUGGAGC
rnacentral:snoRNA from 16 species